CCUUUUAAUCUAAUAACGUUUCCAUGGAAAUCAUCGUUUUAUAAUUUUAGAUCCACAAAAUCGUCUUCCUUUCCUCCUCUUUCAGCCACCAUCACCAUCACCUCCGCCAUCACCACCACCUCCUCCACGGUAUCAACAAAUUGACACUAGCAAAACCAUUUCAUACUUAUUUUUGGUUCAUUUGAGUGUGAGAGAUUUUCAGAGAUGAUUUGAAACUUCGAGAGAUAUCUUCUUCUGAGAUCAAUCAAAUCUUCGAAAUCGAACUGGAUAGUCACCAUCAACAGUUGAUCUUCUUCUAAUUUCAAGUUUAUUUCGGUGUCAAUUGAAGAUCCAUAAGAUCGAUACACAGAUUUAGGUUUUCGAUUUUGUUUUCUGGAGCAAUCAUCAUCAUGUAAAAGAUGAGGAGAAAUUGGAGAUUUUUAUCGUUGAUGUUGUUGGUGGAUGCCGGGGAGUAUAUUUUGUGCUUGGAUGACAGCUUGUGGGACGAAUAGGCUCUUUAGCAUUUUGAGAAUAAAGUUGUAUGGACAACCACAUAGUAGAAGAAGAAAGACACAUGCAUAUCAAUUUUUUGAAUUACUAUGAGACGUUUUGUGGAGUUGUGAGAGAAGAGUCUGGCUGGGUUCAUUUUGUGGAGUUGUCAGAGAAGAGUCUGGCUGGGACUAUUUCGGAAGGCAUGACCAGGAUUGCUGCUGUUCAUUUUGUAGAGUUGUGAGAGAAGAGUCUGGCUGCAGUUGCUAUGAAGAUAUAAAUACUGGAGUUGUGGCCGCAGUUGGUUUUCCGCGGGUUCAAAUGACCAGGUGAUGGAGCUAUGCAGGGAGUCUCAGUGGCGGUGAUGUUUUUCUACAACAACAGUGGAUAUUAUUCAGUGUCGAAGCUGGGUUCCACUGGUGGAGCUAACUGGUGCCUGCAUUUAAGGUAUACCUUUAGUGGGAAAUUAUCUUUGUGUAUACAUCUUUGAGUAAUCACGAUGAAUCUGUGGUGCAAUGGUAGCACAACUGACUAUAUGUCUGAAGAUGAGUGUUCGACUCACACUAGGUUCUAGGUUCACUUUUUUUAGCAAAAUUUUUAUUUUUUGGAGACAACUUGUGAUAGUUGCCUCCAUAUAUGAAGACAACUUGCGCUAGUUGCUUUCACUUUUGAAUACAACUUUGUGCUAGUUGCCUUCAUUUUUGAAGACAACUUGAGCUAGUUGCCUCUGAUUCGGAGACAACUUGAGUUAGUUGGCUCCAUUUUGUUUUGCAACUUGUUCUUGUACACUAUUUAUUGGAAACAAUUUGAGCUAGUUGCCUCCACUGUUGGAGACAACUUAAGCUA